GCCGGGCAUGGUGGCGGGCGCCUGUAGUCCCAGCUACUUGGGAGGCUGAGGCAGGAGAAUGGCGUGAACCCGGGAGGCGGAGCUUGCAGUGAGCCGAGAUUGCACCACUGCACUCCAGCCUGGGGGACGGAGUGAGACUCUGUCUCAAAAAAAACAAACAAAAAAUAUAUAUAUACACAUAUAUAUCUCCAGAGAGGAGAAAAAGGAAUAACCUUUUUUUUUUUCCUUUUUGAGACAAACUCUCACUCUAUCGCCCAGGCUGGAGUGCAGUGGUGAGAUCUCGGCUCACUGCAACCUCCGCUUCCUGGGUUCAAGUGAUUCUCCUGCCUCAG
ensembl:misc_RNA Metazoa_SRP Metazoan signal recognition particle RNA